rnacentral:rRNA from 1 species
ACGCUCGACACCUACGGGGGCAGCAGUGGGGAAUAUUGCACAAUGGGGGAAACCCUGAUGCAGCGACGCCGCGUGAAGGAUGAAGUAUUUCGGUAUGUAAACUUCUAUCAGCAGGGAAGAAAAUGACGGUACCUGACUAAGAAGCCCCGGCUAACUACGUGCCAGCACGCGNGUAUNGNGCGGNNGNGAGC